rnacentral:rRNA from 1 species
UACAGAGGCCUCGAGCGUUAGGCGGAAUCACUGGGCUUAAAGCGUGUGUAGGAGGACUUCUAAGUACCUUGUGAAAUCCCACGGCUCAACCGUGGAACUGCUCGGUAUACUGGUUGUCUUGAGCCAUCUAGGGGCGAGCGGAACAAGUGGUGGAGCGGUGAAAUGCGUAGAUAUCACUUGGAACGCCAACGGUGAAAACAGCUCGCUGGGGAUGUGCUGACGCUGAGACACGAAAGCCAGGGGAGCGAACGGG